GCUCUCCCGAUCUAAUGAAGGAAGUUUAAGAGAUAUGAUCUGAAAAUUGGAUUAAACUCUUGAACUCUUAUAUUAGAAAAAAUUGUAAAUAAAUUAAUGA